rnacentral:misc_RNA from 1 species
GGACAGGUCUCGUAGAAAUGCAUCUCUAAAGCAUCAGAAUACGUAGGAUCGAGGCAUUCUUGUGGGUAGAUUUUGUAAAUUCGGCGAGCUAAGGCCUCGGCAAAGUAAGUAGCCACUUUUCUCAUAGCGCUAGCUUGAGACGCCGCAAGUAAGCCUAUAUGCUUCACAAGCGCCUCUGCGAGCUUAAGAUUCUCCAGUUGAACUGCUUGUGCACAAGCCAAUAGUGUGUGUACGAGACG